UCUUGAGUUUAGGCGUUUUUU
ensembl:piRNA 21ur-13308 ncRNA